CUACCAUGGCUAUAACGGGUAACGGAGAAUUAGGGUUCGAUUCCGGAGAGGGAGCCUGAGAAACGGCUACCACAUCUAAGGAAGGCAGCAGGCGCGUAAAUUACCCAAUCCUGACUCAGGGAGGUAGUGACAAGAAAUAACAACUCGGGGGCUAACGCCUUACGAGAUUGCAAUGGGUACAAUUUAAACCACUUAACGAGGAACAAUUGGAGGGCAAGUCUGGUGCCAGCAGCCGCGGUAAUUCCAGCUCCAAUAGCGUAUAUUAAAGUUGUUGCAGUUAAAAAGCUCGUAGUUGAACUUCUGGGAGUCGCGAGGGUGGCUUACGUCGCAAUCGUCGGCUUUCAUCCGCUUGAGAACCACGUACGUCCUUGAGUGGUCGGCGUGGGAAUCAGGCCUUUUACUGUGAAAAAAUCAGAGUGUUCAAGGCAGGCAAGCGCCCUGAAUACACAAGCAUGGAAUAAUAGAAUAGGACUAGUGUCUAUUUUGUUGGUUAUUGGACAUUAGUAAUGAUUAAUAGGGACAGUUGGGGGCAUUAGUAUUUAAUAGUCAGAGGUGAAAUUCUUGGAUUUAUUAAAGGCUAACUUAUGCGAAAGCAUUUGCCAAGGAUGUUUUCAUUAAUCAA
rnacentral:rRNA from 1 species